rnacentral:rRNA from 1 species
UACGUAGGUGGCAAGCGUUGUCCGGAUUUAUUGGGUUUAAGGGUGCGUAGGCGGCUUAUUAAGUCAGUGGUGAAAUACUCUAGCUCAACUAGAGGGGUGCCAUUGAUACUGAUGAGCUUGAGUACAGAUGAGGUAGGCGGAAUUGACGGUGUAGCGGUGAAAUGCUUAGAUAUCGUCAAGAACACCUAUAGCGAAGGCAGCUUACUAGGCUGUAACUGACGCUGAGGCACGAAAGUGUGGGGAUCAAACAGG